GAGUCCAAAGCAAAAAAUACAAAAAUGAAACUGAAAAAUUAAAUGUUUUUAUUCGUCUCCUAUCAAAUAAACAUACAGAGCUCUGUAUCUCAGUCAAUGAUAUGCUUAUAGUGGUAUCACUCUGUUUAUUCGUUCGAAUUAAAAAAAUUCUGAACGCAUUAUAAUUAUUUCUCUAGUUAUUAAAAUCGAAUAUUCGAUACUCUUCUAUGUCUAUCGUUCAUUAAUAAAACAAUAUUAGAGACGUUGGUGAAGAAGCUUGAUCGAAUGAAUAUCGCCAUUUCUAUUGGAAACUGGUUACAGGAAAGUUCUUAGUCCAAUACACAAACUGUUCCAUUAUGAGGGAUGACCCAGUUGGAUUGAUAAUGAAUAUAAUAACAUUAGGACAAAACCAAAAUCAUUUGUGGAUAAUGGAAUACAUUUAUUUAUUCGGUUUUUCCAUCAUUGAGAUUACUUUUAUAUUCCCUGGAUUACAUCUUCUAAAAAAUAACUCAAACAUUGAAAUGCUUACAGAAUACUUCACGUUGUUCUGCUUCUCACAGUGUGGAUGCGCUGGUCUCAUUAUUUCUGGUCACUUUCUGUCAAAAUCGGUAAAAAUUGCAUCAACUUUGAGUAUCAUUUCAAAAGUCCUAGAAACGCAAACUUCAAAUUUCGAGAUAAAGAUUUUAAAAAAGUCUCGCAACUAUAAUAUUAUAUCGAUAGUGAUAUCAAUAUUGAGCGUAUGCGUUCAUCUUUUAUGUCUACCUUUUCUCAUUGAUGAUGGAUUCGAAAAUUUCACAUUUUAUACUGUUAAGAGAUUUUAUGGCGACGGUCCUGAUAUUAUUUAUAUUUGGCUCAUCAUUCCAUUGUUAAUAGCUGCUGGAUUAGCAACCGUACAGCCACUAUUGUUUUUAAUUUAUUUCACAUUUCAUAUACAAUUCCAAUUGACGUGGCUCAAUGAGUAUGUUAAACAGAAUUUACACAAGAAAAUGAAUAUUGAUACGACAAAUGGAAGAUAUCAAGAAUUAAUCCACGAUUAUCUUUCAAAUGUUGUCAAAUAUCGGUGUUGUUUCAAAACAGCAUUCGAUAGUAUCAAGAUGUUUCAGAACUUCAGUAUGAUUAUACUGAGUGCAACAGGAUCAAUGACUGCAAUAAUGUGUACUUACAAUAUGAGAAACAACACGUAUCAAUCAAAAUCUAUAAAAAUAUAUUUGGUGACUGCAACUUUUCUUUCAAUUUCGGUAUUAUUGAACAUCUGUGGUCAAAGUAUCUCAGAUCAGUGAUCGAAGCAGUUUUCUUCGAUGAGUGCCUUUAAGAGCUCUGCCGCUUUUUGCUUUACCGCUUCCAACGACUCAAAUAGGAUACCUUCGAAACUAGACUCUAUCUUCGGAAAUGAAAAAGAGUCGCACAGUGCCAAAUCUGAUAGCGCGUUAUGGGUAGAUGCAAAAUCGGGUCGUUUUUUACCAACUCGUUCUCGCAGUAUUACCAAAACUGAAAAAUAGUAAAUCUGGUUGAGAGUCUGACCCUCUAGAACCCAUUCAGUCAUUACAAUACCGUUAAUGUCAAAAAAACGAUCAAUUGGUUCAUCUUGAAUUACCCCCGUUCAAGUUUUAUCCAUAAUUGGAAUAUCAUGGAAAUACUUGACACUUUAAGAUCGUUGUACACGCCAAGGAAACCAUUCGACAUAAAGAGACAUUCUGAAGAAAAUUAUCAUAAAUUAUAGAUGCCGAUACAUCUUAAGAAUGUUGCCAAGUAUCGGCAUGACCCACUUCAUAUAAUAUAGGCAGAUCUUAGAUCUUCCGAUUAUUUUCUAGUCAAUAAAACUACGCGACAUAUUAUACAAGAGUUCUUGGAGUGAUUGGAAUAUAAAAAACAAGAAAAUGUUACUGAUGAUAAUUACAAAUAUAAGGGAUCCAUGGGAGAUAUCAUUUCAUAAUUUGGUCUCUGUCAACCACCUAUUUUUAACACAGUUAGCCAAAUUGGUCUACAGUGUGGCCGCUGUCCUUUCUAAUUUGAAAUAACCGAGCAUCUCUUUUAAUAUCUGAGGUACACAGAAUAUUAGGAAUUCAUUGUUACAAUUUCGGAGCUCCUAGAAGAAGCUGAAAAAAUGUUUGGUUUGAAUAAUUAUGUAAUAGAUUAUAACAAUAUAUAAUGUUAAAACAAAAUUUAAUUCAGAUGGAACAGAGCUGAAUUAUCUUGGUUUACAUUCAAUUUUAUAUGUACAUAGUUUAUUGCUACCAAUAAAUAAUAUCUCUGACCA